rnacentral:piRNA from 1 species
GUAACAGUAGUCUUCGAAGUCUUGAGA